AUGAGUUUCCUCCUGUGGAGUGGGUCUUUUACCAAAUGUGAAAGCUGUUGGUUAUACCAUAGCCUAAAUGCCAUUGUUGCACCAAUGGUAUUGCUAGCCUGGCUGGUCAUAUUAAUAGCUCUCAAGGUUCACAACUGGGCAAGACUGUUGAUAGAUAUUUUCUCCCGUGACAGUUUGCAUAUCACCUUCUGGAACUAUGAAAGCCAGCAGGAAGGAAGUUCGGGGGAAUCGAACAGGGUCUGGUGCUUACAAGAAUGCAAGAUCUGGUUAAGAAAAAAGGAAAAUAAACACUGUCAACGAAAUUCAGUGGGCAGAAGAAAGGUCAGAACUUUGGUAAUCCAAAGCCGGAGCCUAUGUCUGUGACUGAGUAAAUACAGUGAUUCCUAACAAGGUGGAUUGUGUCAGGACAACUGGCAGAAUGUCCAAGCUUCUGUAUUCUGUUGUCACAGGUACAUCCUUCACACUGCCCUCCGUGCUCAUUCUGGCUUACUGAAGUUGGAAGAAGAACAAAGGAAAUUAUGCAGGCACUGUGGGUGAUAAUUAACAUAAGAAGGAUGCACAUUCUAAGAAGAGAAUUUGGUUUACAAACUCACAUAAAGAUGCAAAAUUCUUUCUAUGUGUCUUCCAAAAAUGACCAAAAGAAAAAAGUUAAAGAGAAAAUGAACAAACAAGCAAAAAACAAAACAAACAAACAUAAAACAGGAAAUAUGGAGUCUAUCUUAAGCAAAAAUAGAAAUGGUUGCCAAUGGUUACCAUGAGCUUGGAUAUAUUUCUUUGUCAUAUGGUAAGGUUGGGUUGAGGGAGUGAUACCAAAGCUCACUUGAUGUGGAAAUGGGUACAGAGUUUCAUGGAGUUCCACAAGCCUGAAAGGAGUGUUCAGCAACACAUCAGUUAAAAAAGGAGACUCUAAGGUUGCUAGCAGCUCUAGAAAAAAGGUGAGGUGAUGUACAUGGAAACCACUGGUCCAGAGACCUGGUCUCUUUAAUAGCAUUUGUGACUUUUUGUAGUUUAAGCCGCCAAAUUCAUUCUCUCCACCUACUCUGACCAUUUAAUGUCUGGCAAAGAGGAAAGUAAAGAGUGAAGAUGGCAUUCACUGGUUCAUAAAUCAAAAGGCUGACAUGUGGAGUCUGUAUGAGACAAACUAAUCUUCCAAAUUCUCAAAACAGAAGGAAUGGGCAUAUGCUCCAAGGAGUGGAAAUGUUAAAUUUGGUGAAUGUGUUUUGGAAAACAAUACCCAAAUCAAGAUGAAUACUUCUUCAAAGAACUUCAGAGAACUUUUCCUGGAACUUUUGCUUCUUCAUCUUUCACUGUAUGAAGCAACACUCAGCAAGUACUUUGUCACAUUUUUAAGAAAAUUAGUUAAGACUGGAUCACAGACUUGAUGCAAAAACAUUAACUAACAGAGUAAUACAAGAACAAUAAAAAAUGCAUAUUACAGAGGGGUAGUGGAGAGGAAUAUUUUCCACUUACCCCAGACAUUUAGGGCAUUAGUCAUCUUGAUUACACUUGCAUGGAAAUAUUGAGCACAAAGACAAUGAGGAGUUCUAGUAAAAAUUACAUGAUAAUAGAAGGUGAGAAGGGUUCGAUAAAUGACAAAAAUAUCCUAAGUGAAAGCCCUACGGAAAGUUCUUAACACAGAUAGGUGAAUUCCAAAAGAAGGUAACACUUGUCUUCUACAGAAGAUCAUUUCCAGAAAUGACACAGAGAUCAUGAGUGUGGUGACUUUCAACUUUUCCCUCUCUAUCUCAUUCUUAUCUGAGAGUCCUGAGAUGUGUAGGAGACUGGGCUCUUGGGUAUUGUAUAAAAUUGAAAUAAAAUCCUUUAACUUUUAGCUAAG
rnacentral:lncRNA from 1 species